AAUCAAUCGUCGCUUCUUCUCUCGCACUGACUCUCUCUCGCCGUGAACGAUAACAACAAAUCGAUUCAAAUCUCUCGGUUUUGCUCUCUCAAAUUUCGCGAGUUCCAUGGAGGAAAACAGAACCUGAGAUAACUUCCUCCUCUCUUUCUCGAUUUCGUUCGCGGUGAAGAAAAAAAACAAAAGCUAUUGGCUUCUCGCUCAGACGCUCUCACUUGAUGAGUUCUCUCUCGCUCAACAAACGAGAAUGAAAACAAUAACUUUCUCUCUUGCUCUCGGUUGAACAACGACAACAACUGAUGCUCUCGGUUUCUCACGGCAGGGCAUGUGGAAGAGUUUUUUAGAGGUUCUUGCCGACAAGAACAAACCUUAUUCUGAUUUCACUCACGAACCCAAAAACUAGCAGCAACAAUUAUCAUAUGUUAACAAAAACUAGCAGCAACAAUUAUCAGUGAUAAAAAGUGAAAUUUGAGUCACCUGCGGCGAGGAGGUUUUCGCCGGAUUUUGUUGAGAUUCAGUUCUGGCCAGUGAGCAAAAAGCAUGUUUACCGGCUGUGGUGUUGAAGAUGAUGUGGAGCUGCCACUGGAGUUCGGAGGCUCUUUGAUGAAGGUGAUGCCACAACACCUCUUUUGGAUAUUAGGGAGACUUGAAGAUGCAACUUCAAGUUGUUGCUCUCUACUAAGGUAUGAACUACUUCUUCACCCCUUUUCCAACUAUGGAACUAAGAAACUUUGAAAAUUAUGAGAGAAAAGGGAGGAGUGAAAAA